UGAUUUUCUAUAGCCUUUUAGAAUAAACUAUAGUGAGGAUUUCAAACUCGUUUUUAAACCUUUUUUUAGUUCGCUGUACUGUCGUGAUUUCGGUUACGGCAAGUUCCAAUCCUUUAAACAUGUCCAUUAACCAGAUUAAUACACACUUAUAUAGCUGCAAAUGUCACAAAAUAUAAUAUGGUAUUUUAGGAAUAGUUCCUGCAAGUAAAUGUUGUAUUCCUUUUCAAAAACUUAACUCUAAGGCAAAACAUUUGUAGGUGUUGUUUCCUUCCUGUUUUCCUUUAGAAAAGUAACUCAUUGAAAUGCUUGAAAACAAUUGCUAGUGUUAAGAUGAAUUCAAAUAUUGGGAUGGUUCACUUGGUCAGGACUGAAGCUUGUUGAUUGUACUUGAGUGCAAGUUAUUCGAUAAAAUGAUUGCACAUGUUAACUUUUUGGGCCCCAACAAAGCCCAUUGACCUCGUAGACUCUUAGAAGCUCAUUACAAGUAAUACUAAGUUAUGAAUUUUAUGGUUGUGUUAAUCCCUGUUUGAAACUCAUUAUGAGAUUAUGAAAUUUUGGUUGGCAUGAAGAUGUUGAUUUUUUUUUACUUUAUGUUUUCCUUUAAUAAAAGGUCUAUUUUUUAAAUCAUUUACUCACAUUCUUUGCUGACAUUAUUGCCAUUUUUAUAACUACCAUCAUGUCAUCUUUGACUACUUCAUACAUCCUUGUACUUACCAUUUACAACUUGUUAUACAUACGGGUAUCCAACCCGAUCCUCCUUUGCAACACCCUUAAAUACUUUAUUGUUGUCUGAUAUUGUUACGUUUAGCUAAUUUAUUUCAGUUCCAUGUUCCAAGGAGAGCUAUUUUGAACCUAGUUAUAUGUUUAUUGUUAAUCGUUACAUUGUAUGUUUAUAUCCGUUAAUUUCAUCUUGGAUUCUAUACAUUGAUACACAGAUAUGUUGGCUUUUUGGUCAUGAUGUGAGGAUGACUAGCCACAAUUUUGUGGUUUAAUAAUUUCACUUCUUUCUUUAACCGCCCUUAAUGUUGAGUUGGUAGUUUCUAGUGAAACCUUGUUUCAUGCCCCCAGUGUAAAGGCACUGCUCUGUAAAGCAUACUGAAAAAGUUAUUUAUAUUUUAUUUUGUGAAUGCUUAGCCACAUCUAUCAAUUUGUUUUUUCCUCACACCCUUUUUCCCUAUUAAAGUGAUAAGUAUUCUUCUGCUAAUUUCCUCAGGUUUCAUUUCUCUCAUGCCAGAAGGUGCUCCGACACUAUAUUAGUUGAUCCAGAAUGGUAAUAAGAGCAACAGUGCAGCAUAGGUUUCUUCUUCACUUCCGGCCUUUUCUGAGCCAAUGUCCUUCAGCUCAUUCAGUGUCUUCAUUGCAAAAUCUUGGGCAGGCUGUGAGAGAGGAAGUAGAAGCGAAAAACUAUGUUAAAAUUCCUGACCUUUUCAUUUCCUUGGAGUCGUGCCAAAAUUCAAAUCCUUUUUCUUUCUUUUCUUCAUUUCCUCAGAACGUACAAGUACAAAUUGUUGAUGAAAUUUUGCAAUCUUUUAUACCUAUCAGACCACGUUCCAAGCCUCAGCUAGCUUAUUCCUAUCUUCUUUCUUACACUCUUCAAAGCUCCCAUCCUUUCCCCCUUGCACUUGCUAUCCUACAACGGACUCUACGAUCUGGUUGCGUUCCUGUUCUUCAAACUCGUGUUCUCCUCUCAUCAGCUUGGUUGGAGCGGCGAUGUCUGUCCCAAUCUGUUGAUGAUAUUUUACUUCAGAUGCAAACAAUUGGGUAUACUCCUGAUUGUGGAACUUGUAAUUAUCUACUAUCAUCUCUCUGUGCUGUUGACCAACUACCGGAAGCUGUUAAAGUCCUUAAUGGCAUGGGUGGGGCUGGAUGCAUUCCAGAUUCAAAUAGUUAUGGCACGGUAAUUGGUGCAAUGAGCAGAGUGAGAAAGACUGCAGAGGCACAGGAUUUGUUGAAACAAAUGGUGGUGCAAUAUGGUUUAACCCCAGGACAGGGAAUACUAGUGAAAUUAUUGGCAGCAUUACGGGCAAACAGGGAGACAUGGAAUGCUGUUGAGAUUAUUGAGUUCCUGGAGAAAGAGGGUAACUCCGUUGGAUUUGAGAGUUAUGAGUUAGUGAUUGAAGGGUGCUUGGAGAAAUGUGAGUAUGUUUUGGCUGCAAAGGUUGCAACAGGGAUGACAGAAAGAGGUUUCAUACCAUAUAUAGCGGUCAGACAGAAGAUUAUUGAAGGUUUGGUCAGUAUCAAUGAGUGGAAGAUAGCUUGUGCGUUGAGACAUAGAUUUGCAGCACUUAAAUCUUAGCUGUUAAAUUUAGAGGCGCAAGUACAAUGCUUAAUGCCGAUAGAGUGACUUGCAAAGACUUGUGACUUUUAUGGUGUCAGUGUUCUUUUCUCAAUGACAUUGCUGGAAGAUCAUCUCACGGUUUGUGGCAGAGCAAUGCAGCACGAGGAUCUUGAAUUUGUAAAACAUUUGGGUGUAUAAUCUAUGAAGUCAAAGCAUGGAAAGGGGUAGGUUGAUUACUAAGAUGGAUCUUGGGGACAGGAAAGGGUUCCACGCAAUGCGCAAUGAGAGAAGAAGACUAUAGAGGACGUGAAGGGCAUUUGUAAGUUUUUAACUUCGCUUUUCUUGUAUUUUUAUUUCUGUUUUGAAAUUAUUGUAUUGUGGAGCUAAGUUCUUUUUUCCUAGUGCUAUACUUUUUUGAACUGACACAUAUUUCAUUCCUUCGACAACCAUAAUUAUUGUAUUGCAAGUCAA